AUUGAACGCUGGCGGCAUGCCUAACACAUGCAAGUCGAACGGCAGCGCGGGGGCAACCCUGGCGGCGAGUGGCGGACGGGUGAGGAAUACAUGGGAAUCUACCCUGUCGUGGGGGAUAACGUAGGGAAACUUACGCUAAUACCGCAUACGACCGAGAGGUGAAAGCGGCGGACCGCAAGGCGUCGCGCGAUUGGAUGAGCCCAUGUCGGGUUAGCUAGUUGGCGGGGUAAAGGCCCACCAAGGCGACGAUCAGUAGCUGGUCUGAGAGGAUGAACAGCCACACUGGAACUGAGACACGGUACAGACUCCUACGGGAGGCAGCAGUGGGGAAUAUUGGACAAUGGGCGCAAGCCUGAUCCAGCAAUGCCGCGUGGGUGAAGAAGGCCUUCGGGUUGUAAAGCCCUUUUGUACGGGAAGAAAUCCUGUCGGUUAAUACCCGGCGGGGAUGACGGUACCGUAAGAAUAAGCACCGGCUAACUUCGUGCCAGCAGCCGCGGUAACAC
rnacentral:rRNA from 1 species